GGGGGUAUGGCAGAGCGGACGAAUGCGCCGGUCUUGAAAACCGGAGGCGCGCAAGCGCCCGUAGGUUCGAAUCCUACUGCCCCCGCC
rnacentral:tRNA from 1 species